AGAUAACUACUGACUUUCAGCACAGAGAAAGCUGGGCAGAAAUGUUGACUCACAGAAGGGAAAAGGAAUUAAACCCCUGAGCCCUCCCAGCUGCAUAUUCAACACUUUUUCUUCUAAAGUACCAAAAUACGCAAGUUGUAUUUUCUUCCUCAGCCUGCAAAGAAAAUAAGAAGCUGCAUUGCUCUUCACCAUUACAGUCACAGCUUGGAGACAAGAUUUCAGAGGUUUCUAAGUAUUUUAGAGGCAAUAUCCUGGAAUGGUCUUCCAAAAAAUGGCAAUGGAAAAGGAGCCCAGAAAACAAUUUGUUUAUUAUAAGCAGGUCAGUCCUCCAGGGAAUUCGUGGAAUCAUGCAGUGGGAGAGGACAAUCACGGCACUGAAAUGGGUAUGGAGGAUCUGACAUUAAGAAACUUGGCAAUGACCAAUAGAAAGAAGAAAGUACAGCUGUUUAUGGGAUUUUCAGUCUUCUCAUUGAUAUAUCUCAUGAAAGAUUGCCUAAGAACUUGUCAUUUUUUUCACCCAAAUAAAAUAGUAUCUAUUGCUAUAAAAAAAAGUCAAUGACACUUUGGGAAAGCAUUAAGCUAUAUUUCAGAAAUGACUGUCCAAAUGUUGAUUUUUUUUGAAUGAUAUACUGUAGUUAUUAUUAGGACAAAAUCUGUCAUGUAGAAAAGAUUUUUCAGCCCUUAAGUGUACUCAUGAAUAAGCAAAAACUACUUCAACUGUGGAAAGCCUCAGCAAGUUGUUGUAAACAUGUGCCCUUGCAUGUAGAUAUUCAUGUAUGUACAGGUAUAGACUGAUAAAGAUCGACUGAGGUAAAUGUUUCAAGGAAAAACAAUUCAAGACUUUAGGAAACUUAUAUAAAUCUCAGUUGGAAAUCCUUUAUUUAUGAGAUUUCUUGAAUCCAGAUUGUUAAAACAUGUAAUUAGCUCAUCUUUGACACACAUCAGGCAAAUUUGUACCCAGUUUCCUUGGUAAAUAUCACUUAAUUGGGACUUCAGUAUGAUGACAAUAAUAAAAAAAAAUCACGCCUUGCA
rnacentral:lncRNA from 1 species